rnacentral:lncRNA from 1 species
CUUCCAGAUCUUUGGGUUCCAUGCAAAAAGAAACAUCAAUGAGUGAUUUAUCGGAAGAAAGUUCUUUGGGUAAGUCAUUUCACUUUUUUUGUUUUUUGCAUUUUUUUUUUCUACAUGGUUAAGUUUAAAAUCUAUUUAGAUCUCAUAUGAAAUCACGAGUUAAGAAUCUAAUUAGCCAGUAUAUACUGUACAUAGAUAGCACACAUGGUACUAAAAUAGGUUCUUGCAAGUAGCAUACUUUUUAUACUGAGUCUAUUACCCGUUCUGAACUUACCGCGUCCUUCACGUGUUUUAUUUACAUUUCCCGGAUUUUUUUAUAUAAGAAUUAUAAUAGAUUUCAAUUUUGCUUCCAUUACAAAUUAUGACUUAAAUCUUUACAAAAAAUUGCAAACAUAAUACUGAUAGCUCACGGUUUUUAGCAUGGUUUUCAAUAUUAUUAUUAUUAUUUAAAAUGCGAUUAAAAUAAUUCUCCCGAAAAGUAUUAUUUAAAUAACAUUUAAUAAUGGAGAUAGAGAUCAAUAAAUAACUUUUUUCGGCAGGUUAAAAUUUUCAAUAAGUUGUGUGUGUGUAAGGCAAGAGGCCACGUUCCACCAUGUUAAAGCCAAAUUACGGUCAGUAGGGAAAUUUACGCAUGCGUCAACAUCUGAGUUCUGUCAUGGAAUGGAGUGGUGCAACAGCAGACCUACAGAGAGAGAGAGAGAGGAGAGGAGAGACGAGAGGAGGGGGAACUCUCCUUCAGAUUGUAUCGGAUCGACAGGGUGUUAAGAUAGCUUGUGAGCAUGCUCAGUGUAACACGAUAUCCGAACGUUGCAGGCCUGUGAAUGAAGCAAAAGUCACACACGUUGCAUCUGAGGCUUUGUUUUUAUAGCCAACUAUAAAUACCCGCGAUGGACCAUCCUUUCUUGUACUCUCUCCUUUGUCUUUAUUGGCUACAUAAAAGAAUUAUCUAUAUACGUUAAAAAUAAAGCAUAACUAUCGGUUCGAUUAUCAAUUUUUAUUGUUUUUUUUUUUUAAAUUCAACACGAAUAAAAAAUUAUCUGGCGAUAGUUUU